rnacentral:rRNA from 1 species
CCGGCGACCGGCGGACGGGUGCGUAACGCGUAUGUAACCUACCUUUGACAGGGGGAUAACAUCGAGAAAUUGGUACUAAUACCCCAUAACAUCACCGGAGGCAUCUUCGGUGGUUGAAAACUCAGGUGGUCAGAGAUGGACAUGCGUUGUAUUAGCUAGUUGGUGAGGUAACGGCUCACCAAGGCGACGAUACAUAGGGGGACUGAGAGGUCAACCCCCCACAUUGGUACUGAGGCACGGACCAAACUCCUACGGGAGGCAGCAG